rnacentral:pre_miRNA from 13 species
GGGGCCGCGGCCCCCCGGUCCCCCGGGCCCAGGUUCUGUCAUGCACUCGGACCUGGACUCUGGAGCGGUCAGUGCAUGACAGAACUUGGGCCUGGACGGACCUUCCUCACGGAGCACGC